UACAGAGGGUGCGAGCGUUGUUCGGAAUCAUUGGGCGUAAAGCGCGCGUAGGCGGCUUUGCAAGUCGGAUGUGAAAGCCCUGGGCUCAACCCAGGAAGUGCAUUCGAAACUGCAUGGCUUGAGUUCCGGAGAGGGUGGUGGAAUUCCGAGUGUAGAGGUGAAAUUCGUAGAUAUUCGGAGGAACACCAGUGGCGAAGGCGACCACCUGGACGAGAACUGACGCUGAGGUGCGAAAGCGUGGGGAGCAAAC
rnacentral:rRNA from 1 species